UAGACUGUCAUCUAGGUGCCCGUGGUGUUACGCAUGCGCAAGAGGUGGAACGCUCAUGCCAAGGGGCGUUCCACUUCCAAAGUCGUGAUACUCUGUCAAGCGCUCUGUUUGUGCGUGGAAGGUGCAAGUAGUAACCUCGCUUGUGUGCAGACUACGUUCGAGCUGGAAACGGCUGUAAUAGUGGGCAUCACUGAGUCAGUGUGAACAGCAAAGUGUACAGUACGCUUGUGUUGUGAACGGUGUUACUUUAACAACACGUGUCAUCAGGGAUAUCCCCAGGAUUUUCGUCUCCGGGCCCAUAACUUCAAGAAUCUCUGUGCAAAUGAGCCGAAACGAAAACCGCGCGCAUUGGGAUCGCAGGGAGGAUAUGACCUUCGCCGUCAGCUGCCCAUCUGUGCCACAAACUGGGUGGUCUGGCGAGGAGAUCAGCACCUACUCGAGCACCUACUCCAAUAAUCUCCGUUGCAGGCGUCCCUCUGACGUGGAACGAGCGCUGUCCUGUAUAUGACGUCAUGUCUGGACCACUGUGCCCUGUAGAACGACAGCCCCUGUUCAAAAUAUUGGUGGCUCGUGCCUUGAAGAUUAUUUUCCACCAUAUGCUGUCAUUGGACGGCUCGAUUUCCCCUCUCUCAUCUACUAAUAUUUUGUCUAAGUGCUUCCCUGUGUGUACAGUGUUAAGGAAACGACAUAAGAUAACUUAUUAGGGACAAACUAACUUUAUCAAGGGGGCGGAGAACAUGUAAUAAUCACUGUAGGAACAUCCAAAGUGAGCUGCAGCGGGUCCGCCUUACUUGAAAUUCUUUUGUGACAGGAUCCAUGUCCAGAAUAGAAUAAUCAGCAUCUCGGU